UUGAACGCUGGCGGCGUGCUUAACACAUGCAAGUCGAACGUGAAAGUCCUUCGGGACGAGUAAAGUGGCGCACGGGUGAGUAACGCGUGGAUAAUCUACCUUCAAGACGGGGAUAACGGCUGGAAACGGUCGCUAAUACCGGAUACGCUCCCGAUUUUAUCGUUGGGGGGAAAGAUGGCCUCUGCUUGCAAGCUAUCGCUUGGGGAUGAGUCCGCGUCCCAUUAGCUAGUUGGUGGGGUAACGGCCCACCAAGGCAACGAUGGGUAGCCGGUCUGAGAGGAUGACCGGCCACACUGGAACUGGAACACGGUCCAGACUCCUACGGGAGGCAGCAGUGGGGAAUAUUGCGCAAUGGGCGAAAGCCUGACGCAGCGACGCCGCGUGAGGGAUGAAGGUUUUCGGAUCGUAAACCUCUGUCAGGGGGGAAGAAACCCCUUCGUGUGAAUAAUGCGAAGGCUUGACGGUACCCCCAAAGGAAGCACCGGCUAACUCCGUGCCAGCAGCCGCGGUAAUACGGAGGGUGCAAGCGUUAAUCGGAAUCACUGGGCGUAAAGCGCACGUAGGCGGCUCGGUAAGUCAGGGGUGAAAUCCCACAGCCCAACUGUGGAACUGCCCUUGAUACUGCCUGGCUUGAGUACCGGAGAGGGUGGCGGAAUUCCAGGUGUAGGAGUGAAAUCCGUAGAUAUCUGGAGGAACACCGGUGGCGAAGGCGGCCACCUGGACGGUAACUGACGCUGAGGUGCGAAAGCGUGGGUAGCAAACAGGAUUAGAUACCCUGGUAGUCCACGCUGUAAACGAUGGGUGCUGGGUGCUGGGAUGUAUGUCUCGGUGCCGUAGCUAACGCGAUAAGCACCCCGCCUGGGGAGUACGGUCGCAAGGCUGAAACUCAAAGAAAUUGACGGGGGCCCGCACAAGCGGUGGAGUAUGUGGUUUAAUUCGAAGCAACGCGAAGAACCUUACCAGGCCUUGACAUCCCUUGCAGAGGUAUAGAGAUAUAUCCGAGGUUAUCAAGGAGACAGGUGGUGCAUGGUUGUCGUCAGCUCGUGCCGUGAGGUGUUGGGUUAAGUCCCGCAACGAGCGCAACCCCUGUCCUUAGUUGCCAGCAUGUAGAGAUGGGAACUCUAAGGAGACUGCCGUAGAUAAUACGGAGGAAGGUGGGGAUGACGUCAAAUCAUCAUGCCCUUUAUGUCUUGGGCUACACACGUACUACAAUGGCGCGCACAAAGGGUAGCGAGACCGCGAGGUGGAGCCAAUCCCAAAAAACGCGUCCCAGUCCGGAUUGGAGUCUGCAACUCGACUCCAUGAAGUCGGAAUCGCUAGUAAUUCGAGAUCAGCAUGCUCGGGUGAAUGCGUUCCCGGGCCUUGUACACACCGCCCGUCACACCACGAAAGUCGGUUUUACCCGAAGCCGGUGAGCUAACUCGCAAGAGGAGCAGCCGUCUACGGUAGGGCCGAUGAUUGGGGUG
rnacentral:rRNA from 1 species